rnacentral:rRNA from 1 species
UCAAUCUCGUGCGGCUCGAGGCCGCCGGUCCCUCUAAGAAGAGUUUCAUCGUGUCGCCGACAGCACGGAUGCGGAUGUCGUUUGUUUAGCGACUAGUUAGCAGGCCAGAGUCUCGUUCGUUAU